rnacentral:rRNA from 1 species
ACAGUCGAGCGAAUGGAUUAAGAGCUUGCUCUUAUGAAGUUAGCGGCGGACGGGUGAGUAACACGUGGGUAACCUGCCCAUAAGACUGGGAUAACUCCGGGAAACCGGGGCUAAUACCGGAUAACAUUUUGAACCGCAUGGUUCGAAAUUGAAAGGCGGCUUCGGCUGUCACUUAUGGAUGGACCCGCGUCGCAUUAGCUAGUUGGUGAGGUAACGGCUCACCAAGGCAACGAUGCGUAGCCGACCUGAGAGGGUGAUCGGCCACACUGGGACUGAGACACGGCCCAGACUCCUACGGGAGGCAGCAGUAGGGAAUCUUCCGCAAUGGACGAAAGUCUGACGGAGCAACGCCGCGUGAGUGAUGAAGGCUUUCGGGUCGUAAAACUCUGUUGUUAGGGAAGAACAAGUGCUAGUUGAAUAAGCUGGCACCUUGACGGUACCUAACCAGAAAGCCACGGCUAACUACGUGCCAGCAGCCGCGGUAAUACGUAGGUGGCAAGCGUUAUCCGGAAUUAUUGGGCGUAAAGCGCGCGCAGGUGGUUUCUUAAGUCUGAUGUGAAAGCCCACGGCUCACCCGUGGAGGGUCAUUGGAAACUGGGAGACUUGAGUGCAGAAGAGGAGAGUGGAAUUCCAUGUGUAGCGGUGAAAUGCGUAGAGAUAUGGAGGAACACCGGUGGCGAAGCGACUUUCUGGUCUGUAACUGACACUGAGCGCGAAAGCGUGGGGAGCA